GGAUAUCCUUCUUAACACUUGAGUGCUGGUUUGGUGGUCAUAAAUUUCUUCAGGUGUUCUUUGUCAUGGCCGGGGUACCUGGAUUCAGACACAGAAUGGUGUGGAUGAUGUGUCGAAAGUCCGGGGAAACCUCUUCUCUCCAGAACAAGAAUUUAGAAAGUCUCUGGGAGGAAUCCAGAGUCCUGGGCCAGUGGUGACACUCGCUUAUACCUAUGUCUUCAAGAAUUUUGCCUAUGUAAUCUCACAGCAGAGUGUCAUCGUCCAUAAGCGAAACUGACGCUCGAGCAAGGCUUGUCCAUAUAAGCAGUGGAUCACAAAUAAUGACCCGAGUGGCUGCCCGCAAGCUGAUGCAAUUCCCGGCCCCUUACACCAGCCUCCGCUGCAUAACCAAGACCCUUCCAGCCAGCUCCCUCUCCUUCUUCCUUCGCCUGUAGGCCACCGUUCCGCAGCGGCUCUACAAUAAAUCUCUCCUAUGAGCUCUGUCGGUGUGCGGAGCGAUCUUUGGCAGGUGCCGGUUUCUUUCAGUGCUAAAACCGGCAAAGUCCGAAGCAAGUUAGAACUGGUUAGAACUGGUCACUUGAGGAAUCAAUGAGGGAGUGCCUUUUCCUAAAGAGGAAAGAGUUGAAACACAAUGGUGAGUUUGGGUUCUUCGGCCAGUCCACCACUGCUUCCUUAUCUCGCACGUCUACAAAUUCGAAAGUCCUGCCAAAGACAGCUCUGUUGGACAAGGGUGGCUCAGGGGUGUCCCACGUGCAUGGGAGGCUCUGGGUUUAACCCCAGCGCCUUGCGAAAA